ACGAACGCUGGCGGCGUGCUUAACACAUGCACGUCGAACGGAAAGGCCCUGCUUUUGUGGGGUGCUCGAGUGGCGAACGGGUGAGUAACACGUGAGUAACCUGCCCUUGACUUUGGGAUAACUUCAGGAAACUGGGGCUAAUACCGGAUAGGAGCUCCUGCUGCAUGGUGGGGGUUGGAAAGUUUCGGCGGUUGGGGAUGGACUCGCGGCUUAUCAGCUUGUUGGUGGGGUAGUGGCUUACCAAGGCUUUGACGGGUAGCCGGCCUGAGAGGGUGACCGGCCACAUUGGGACUGAGAUACGGCCCAGACUCCUACGGGAGGCAGCAGUGGGGAAUAUUGCGCAAUGGGCGGAAGCCUGAUGCAGCAACGCCGCGUGCGGGAUGACGGCCUUCGGGUUGUAAACCGCUUUCGCCUGUGACGAAGCGUGAGUGACGGUAAUGGGUAAAGAAGCACCGGCUAACUACGUG
rnacentral:rRNA from 1 species